UUUUUAUCAGGCCUGAGUCAACAGUGCAGGUCAUAAAGACGUAAAGCACUCUUUGAAGUCUUUUAGGGCCAACAACAACUUCAAAUCGUGCUCCACAUUCAGAUUCCACAGCUGCUACUGCAGCAGAAGGAGCUGAGAUACGGGUUUGCCCCCUGUACCGCCGGCUCGAUGCUCUCUCUGAACAGCUUGUCCACGAACUGGCAGAUGAACGGCCACAUCUGCUUCACCGUCUACGUGCCCGAGACCACCGACAAUAUCAGCACCUAAUGCGCCUUCAUCCUGGCGGAUAGAACACCGGACACCUUCCGCCAACUGUUCCACCCCCCGCUUGGACCCGUUUCUUCACUUCCUUACCACACUCUCCGCUGCUCUGCAUUGUUGACCCCAAGUAUUUGAAGUCAGAUGAUCCGCUAUCUCUUCUCUCUGGAGCUUCACUCUUCCUCCUCCGCCCCUCUCAUUCACGCACAUAUAUUUUGUUUUACUUCAGCUAAUCAUCUCAAUCAUUUACACUGAUGAAAUGUUCUCAUCAUUCAUGAAAUUCUGUCAUGCGAAUUACUGAAAGGCUUUCAGUCACACUAAUGAUUUUUUUUCCUUGCUUACAAACAUUACUAAGACGCUCUCAUACACACAAUUGAAUUCUUUUUCACUCAUAAACUGAAACGCUCUCACACACAGGAGCGUCAAACAUUGGGGAAAAGUCUGUCUCGGGGUCCCUGAGCAUUUGUGGGGCCUGAACACACAAUGAUCCCCUGACAAAUAAUUUCUGGAAGUCAAUAUACGUUCCCCCACAAUCCAACUCCUUUAAAUGUUUGUUUAAAACCAUUAUUUUAUCCAUACAUACAGCUAAUCCAAUCAAUCAGCUCAAAAAAAGGAAAUAUUGAAAUGCUCACAUACGCCACUAAAACGCUCUCAUCCUUCUUUUCUUUUUCU